UACGUAGGGUGCAAGCGUUGUCCGGAAUUAUUGGGCGUAAAGAGCUCGUAGGCGGUUUGUUGCGUCGGCUGUGAAAUCCCGAGGCUCAACCUCGGGUCUGCAGUCGAUACGAGCAAACUAGAGUGUUGCAGGGGAGACUGGAAUUCCUGGUGUAGCGGUGGAAUGCGCAGAUAUCAGGAGGAACACCGGUGGCGAAGGCGGGUCUCUGGGCAACAACUGACGCUGAGGAGCGAAAGCGCGGGGAGCGAACAGG
rnacentral:rRNA from 1 species